rnacentral:rRNA from 1 species
CCUACGGGUGACAGCAGUAGGGAAUAUUGCUCAAUGGGGGAAACCCUGAAGCAGCAACGCCGCGUGGAGGAUGAAGGUUUUCGGAUUGUAAACUCCUUUUGUUAGAGAAGAGAAUGACGGUAUCUAACGAAUAAGCACCGGCUAACUCCGUGCCAGCAGCCGCGGUAAUACGGAGGGGGCAAGCGUUACUCGGAAUCACUGGGCGUAAAGGGCGCGUAGGCGGGAUAGCAAGUCAGAUGUGAAAUCCUAUGGCUUAACCAUAGAACUGCAUUUGAAACUGUUAUUCUAGAGUAUGGGAGAGGUAGGUGGAAUUCUUGGUGUAGAGGUGAAAUCCGUAGAGAUCAAGAGGAAUACUCAUUGCGAAGGCGACCUGCUAGAACAUAACUGACGCUGAUGCGCGAAAGCGUGGGGAGCAAACAGGAUUAGAUACCCUAGUAGUC